GAUGAAGAACGUAGCGAAAUGCGAUAAGUAAUGCGAAUUGCAGAUUUCAGUGAGUCAUCGAAUCUUUGAACGCACAUUGCGCCCGCCAGUAUUCUGGCGGGCAUGCCUGUUCGAGCGUCAUUUCAACCAUCAAGCCCCCGGGCUUGCGUUGGGGCCCUGCGGCUGCCGCAGGCCCCUAAAAGCAGUGGCGGGCUCGCUGUCACACCGAGCGCAGUAGCGAUAUUCGCUCCGGGCGUCGGCGGCGGGCACCGGCCAUGAAACCCCCCAUUUCUCAAGGUUGACCUCGGAUCAGGUAGGAAUACCCGCUGAACUUAAGCAUAUCAAUAAGCGGAGGA
rnacentral:misc_RNA from 1 species